rnacentral:rRNA from 1 species
CGCACAAGCGGUGGAGCAUGUGGUUUAAUUCGAUGCUACGCGAAAAACCUUACCACUUUUUGACAUGAAGGUCGUAUCCCUCCUAACAGGGGGAGUCAGUUCGGCUGGACCUUACACAGGUGCUGCAUGGUUGUCGUCAGCUCGUGUCGUGAGAUGUUGGGUUAAGUCCCGCAACGAGCGCAACCCUCAUUCUUAGUUACCAACA